ACGCCUCGUGCGUCCGCGGGCUUCAAGGGGCCCACGUGGUGGGGGUGGUGCCGUGUCGGCGCAGCACCACCCUCACCGG
rnacentral:ncRNA from 1 species